GUAUCAGCUAGUUGGUAAGGUAAUGGCUUACCAAGGCUAUGACGCAUAACUGGUCUGAGAGGAUGAUCAGUCACACUGGAACUGAGACACGGUCCAGACUCCUACGGGAGGCAGCAGUAGGGAAUAUUGCUCAAUGGGCGAAAGCCUGAAGCAGCAACGCCGCGUGGAGGAUGACACUUUUCGGAGCGUAAACUCCUUUUCUUAGGGAAGAAAUUUGACGGUACCUAAGGAAUAAGCACCGGCUAACUCCGUGCCAGCAGCCGCGGUAAUACGGAGGGUGCAAGCGUUACUCGGAAUCACUGGGCGUAAAGGACGCGUAGGCGGAUUAUCAAGUCUUUUGUGAAAUCUAAUGGCUUAACCAUUAAACUGCUUGAGAAACUGAUAAUCUAGAGUGAGGGAGAGGCAGAUGGAAUUGGUGGUGUAGGGGUAAAAUCCGUAGAGAUCACCAAGAAUACCCAUUGCGAAGGCGAUCUGCUAGAACUCAACUGACGCUAAUGCGUGAAAGCGUGGGGAGCAAACAGGAUUAGAUACCCUGGUAGUCCACGCCCUAAACGAUGUAUACUAGUUGUUGCUCUGCUAGUCAGGGCAGUAAUGCACCUAACGGAUUAAGUAUACCGCCUGGGGAGUACGGUCGCAAGAUUAAAACUCAAAGGAAUAGACGGGGACCCGCACAAGCGGUGGAGCAUGUGGUUUAAUUCGAAGAUACGCGAAGAACCUUACCUGGGCUUGAUAUCCUAAGAACCUCUUAGAGAUAAGAGGGUGCUAGCUUGCUAGAACUUAGAGACAGGUGCUGCACGGCUGUCGUCAGCUCGUGUCGUGAGAUGUUCGGUUAAGUCCGGCAACGAGCGCAACCCACGUAUUUAGUUGCUAACAGUUUGGCUGAGCACUCUAAAUAUACUGCCUUCGUAAGGAGGAGGAAGGUGUGGACGACGUCAAGUCAUCAUGGCCCUUAUGCCCAGGGCGACACACGUGCUACAAUGGCAUAUACAAUGAGACGCAAUAUCGCGAGAUGGAGCAAAUCUAUAAAAUAUGUCCCAGUUCGGAUUGGAGUCUGCAACUCGACUCCAUGAAGCCGGAAUCGCUAGUAAUCGUAGAUCAGCCAUGCUACGGUGAAUACGUUCCCGGGUCUUGUACUCACCGCCCGUCACACCAUGGGAGUUGAUUUCACUCGAAGUCGGAAUGCUAAACUAGCUACCG
rnacentral:rRNA from 1 species